ensembl:miRNA mir-1019 ncRNA
GUGAGCAUUGUUCGAGUUUCAUUUUUAAUAAAAUUUAUUUAAAAACUGUAAUUCCACAUUGCUUUCCAG